GAAAUACAGACUGUUUUAUUGAAUGUAUUUACAGCUGACUACAGAGGAGAACAAUAUUAAACAAGGCGUUGUGUAGUUUACAUCAUAUCUCGUGCGUUUUACAUUUGACAGCUCAGCUCCUCAAUACUCCAACAGACAGAACACCAUACAGUUCCUAAUUAAAGUUUCAGUUCCUUCCUUCUUCAAAGGGUUUUUGUCUAUUUAAUAAAAGCUAAAAGCAUAAUAGCAAAUGUUGAAUUCUUGUUAGAUUUAUUUAUUGAUGAACCUCUUUUACUUUAAAAGGUGCACGAUUGUAGCCUGGUCCCUGAUCUGUUUGUGCUGUCUUGGCAACUCUUAGACGGUCAUUAGAGUUGACAAGACAGCGCAAACAGAAAUGAGACCAGGCUAACUGAGACUGUGCAAGUGACUCUCAUUCUACACACUUUGCAUGGCAUCUCUGUCUUAGCAUGAGUUCCAAAUCAGAUUCAGAACAAGAUGACAAGAUAAUGACAAGAUAACCUACUGUACAGUUUGCCUGUCCAUAUCUCUCAUUCCAUUCAACAGAGUUCCUUCCUGUAGUAUCUCUUUCAUUCCCUUCUUGACUUCCCUCAGUCUAUCUCUCUCUCUCUCUCUCUCUCUCUCUCUUUCUCUCUGUCUUCAUCCCUCCCCCCACUUCACUCACAGUAACAGUCCACCAGUAAAAAAACAAAAAAUUGGGAAUACUUAAUGAGCUUGGUAGUUUAAAGCACCUGGCCACAUCACCUAAAUGGCUUAUGGUUCCUUCUAGAAGCCCGAGAUGUUACUGCUGUUAGCCUCUCUAGACAGACGGGUUGCCUUCAUACUUCCAUAAUACUUCACACACCACAUUCAGACCAGUGGGAUGAAUAGGCCUCGGGGAAAAGACCCGUGUCUACCUGGACAGGUAUAACCUACACCUGUCCAGGUUAACUGUAAAUUAUUCCAUUUGAAACCAGUUCAGAUCUUUUAGUUCUUUAAGAUCUUUACAUCUUAUGACACUGUAUAUUACGCUAACAUGCACAAGCGCGUUUUGGCAUGUAUGUAAUGUUGUUGCUUGAGGAAUGAAAGAAACGCUGGUGUGGGACAGGUAGACAGGUGGACAGGUGUAACCUACACCUGGGUUUGGGUUUGAGUAACAGAGAGUGGAGGAAUUAGUUAGAGAAGGAUGGGAUAAGGACGUCUGCCUAUAUUGAGGUGGAUGGUAGGACAGGGGUCACCUGACCCCAUCGCACUCCGGCCGGUUGGUCAGUCGGCAGGUAGUUAGAUUGGGAUAGGUAGUUAGAUUGGGAUAGGUAGUUAGAUUGGGAUAGGUAGUUAGAUUGGGAUAGGUAGUUAGAUUGGGAUCCAGUGGUGGAACAGGGGUAGGAGGAGUAACGGGUAGUUAGAUUGGGAUAGGUAGUUAGAUUGGGAUAGGUUGUUAGAUUGGGAUCGGUAGUUAGAUUGGGAUAGGUAGUUAGAUUGGGAUAGGUAGUUAGAUUGGGAUAGGUAGUUAGAUUGGGAUCCAGUGGUGGAACAGGGGUAGGAAGAGUAGCAGGUAGUUAGAUUGGGAUAGGUAGUUAGAUUGGGAUCCAGUGGAGGAACAGGGGUAGGAAGAGUAGCAGGUAGUUAGAUUGGGAUAGGUAGUUAGAUUGGUAUCCAGUGGAGGAACAGGGGUAGGAAGAGUAGCGGGUAGCUGAGACUUCCUCCCAGAUUGGAUGUGUUUCCUGUCACGUUGCAGUCAUUAAAGAAACAGCAGUGAAAUCUGACCCCUGGCAACCUGUAACCCUGACUGUUGGCCUGGCUACAGAAAGACUUGUAGGAGCAGGACUUCAUCACUCCGCCU
rnacentral:lncRNA from 1 species